UAUGCAUGUUGGGGAAAAUGAGCAUUUAAAUCUUCAACUAUUUAAAGUCAACAAAUUUAAUACCGAACUAUUACUUGCACGAUUUUAUUCUCCAACUAAUAGUUGACUUGACAAAUUGGUGACUAAAAUAGUCAAUUGGUUAAAUUAUAAUUGAUUUUUGUUAACUUUUUAUCAAUUAUCUUCGUCACUGAUCUUUUAAAACUCGAAAUCUUCAAAUUCAAAUCCUAAUUUAAAUUGAAGUCGAUUUCCGACGACGAUAAAGGAGAUUUCCGGUGAUAAAAUAGCAAAUUCGACCCAAUUACG
rnacentral:lncRNA from 1 species